rnacentral:misc_RNA from 1 species
AAACAAAUUUAUCACAUGCUUACCUACAAUUAGACAACAAGAAUCCAUAAAAUGUUAUGUGAAACUAAGUCUCAUAAACGUAGUGGUCAGUGAGCUCAUAACAAUGCUGAACAAAUGAUAUUGGCCACUGCAAUGAUAAAAUGAAAAGAAUGGGGUGAGUAACUCAAAAACUUUGGAUCAAGUACAAUUAUGGCCAAUUCUUUUCAUUUUUUUUAUAACUAAUUUUUUUAGUUUCCCUUUCCUUUUCUUUGG